UACAGAGGGGGCAAGCGUUGUUCGGUAUUACUGGGCGUAAAGGGCGCGUAGGCGGCCUGUUAAGUCGAACGUGAAAUCCCCGGGCUCAACCCGGGAACUGCGUCCGAUACUGGCAGGCUUGAAUCCGGGAGAGGGAUGCGGAAUUCCAGGUGUAGCGGUGAAAUGCGUAGAUAUCUGGAGGAACACCGGUGGCGAAGGCGGCAUCCUGGACCGGUAUUGACGCUGAGGCGCGAAAGCCAGGGGAGCAAACGGG
rnacentral:rRNA from 1 species